rnacentral:rRNA from 1 species
CAGUCGCCGCGGGAAUACGUAGGGUGCGAGCGUUAAUCGGAAUUACUGGGCGUAAAGCGAGCGCAGACGGUUAUUUAAGCAGGAUGUGAAAUCCCCGGGCUUAACCUGGGAACUGCGUUCUGAACUGGAUAGCUAGAGUGUGUCAGAGGGGGGUAGAAUUCCACGUGUAGCAGUGAAAUGCGUAGAGAUGUGGAGGAAUACCGAUGGCGAAGGCAGCCUCCUGGGAUAACACUGACGUUCAUGCCCGAAAGCGUGGGUAGCAAACAGGAUUAGAUACCCCUGUAGUCCCUGUCUCUUAUAC